AACGCGGGAACGACGGGUGAGUGAGAUGCCAUCAACUCGCCCGCUUUCAAGUACGGACUACACCUGUUUGGCCCGACAGAAUGGGUCCCACCGGGUCCUCUCGAAUCAUUUUUCCGCGCGAGAAUAGUUAUCGCCACCACGUUGCAGGCCGCCGCGAGAGCGGGGAACGCCUUCUUCCGGCAGGGGAGCAGCCGGAGAUUCCCAAUGUGGGUCGGAAUAUCUCCUCCUCCCCCACUCUCCCCCCUCUUGUUAAGAUUCUUCUUUUGGCCGAUUAAUGACAAGGAAUCAAACCUCGUCAUCGUGAUGUAACGAGAUCUUCUCAUCUCUAUGGUUUUCAGAUCCGACAACAACGAUAUACACAUAUAUCAAAUAAAAGCUUCAUGAAUGGGAUCAAAAGGUAUAUAUACAUCUUAAAUUUGAUGUAUUGUUAUUUGCUUUCAAAUUUUGACAUUAAAAUUUUUGUAUAACAUUAGCGUAAGGAUGGUGUUUGUUCUUACAAUUUGUAUCAUAGUUAUGUUUAUAAAUCAAAUACUUUAGAUUUAUUUGUUAGUAUUUUUGC